rnacentral:rRNA from 1 species
UGGGGAAUUUUGGACAAUGGACGAAAGUCUGAUCCAGCGACGCCGCGUGGAGGAUGAAGGUUUUCGGAUCGUAAACUCCUUUUACAGGGGACGAAAGCGGGCAACCGUUUGACAGUACUCUGUGAAUAAGCCACGGCUAACUACGUGCCAGCAGCCGCGGUAAUACGUAGGUGGCGAGCGUUACUCGGAUUUACUAGGCGUAAAGCGUGUGUAGGCGGGAGCCUAAGUUUGUCGUUAAAUUCCAGAGCUCAACUCUGGACUGUCGAUGAAUACUGGGUUUCUUGAGUGAGGUAGGGGAAAUUGGAAUUCCAGGUGUAGCGGUGAAAUGCGUAGAUAUCUGGAAGAACGCCAAAGGCGAAGGCAGAUUUCUGGGCCUUUACUGACGCUGAGACACGAAAGCUAGGGGAGCAAACAGG